GGCCUGGUGGCGGAUGGUCCGCACUCACAUAAAUAUUGCUCUGUGUUGACUUACAUGUGAGGAUCCCUCGUUCGAAUCGAGGCCAGGCCG